rnacentral:rRNA from 1 species
UACGUAGGGUGCAAGCGUUACUCGGAAUUACUGGGCGUAAAGCGCACGUAGGCGGCUUUGUAAGUUAGAGGUGAAAGCCCGGGGCUCAACUCCGGAACUGCCUUUAAGACUGCAUCGCUUGAAUCCAGGAGAGGUGAGUGGAAUUCCGAGUGUAGAGGUGAAAUUCGUAGAUAUUCGGAAGAACACCAGUGGCGAAGGCGGCUCACUGGACUGGUAUUGACGCUGAGGUGCGAAAGCGUGGGGAGCAAACAGG